rnacentral:lncRNA from 1 species
UUGAUUGAAUAGUAUAAUCUAACGGAUGAAAAUGAUUAAAGGGUAUAUCUAACGGCUAAAACUUAUGAGUACAAUAGGCUCUAUACUCAUAAAAGUAUAGUAGCCGGACUCUAUAUAUAUAUAUAUAUAUAUAUAUAUAUAUAUAUAUAUAUAUAUAUUGUGUUAAUUAAUUUUACUUAAUAAUAAAAUAAUUAGUAUCAAAUGACUAAGAGCUUAAUAGUUGAUAUUAUCGAGAUCCUAAAAUCAAAAUUUAAUUUAUUUUAUAUUUUUAACUAAAUUUAUUUUUUAAAAAUAAACGAAAUACCAUAAGCUUGUAAAAAGCUCAAGUACGUAUCCUACAUGAUUUUGAGCCGUUGAAAGCUUCAGCGGGUACUCCACGAAAUGGAAUAUGUAAGAGCAUUGCUAGUUUGCCACCACGGGCACACAAAAGUGUACCCUAACAUUUUCUUUGUAAAAUCGACUGUCCAUAACGUAAGUGACAAAAGGCUUUAUGGUUGGUAUCCGAAAUUUAAAAUUCAAAUCUAGUUGAUUCACAUUUCUAACUAAGUUUCUUUCUAAAGAAAAUAAACGAAGCGGGUACCUCUUAAAAAAAAAAAAAGUUUAAAAUUUCGGCGGCAAAUUAAUUACCAUGGAAAAAAAAUUAAGAGGAUAUAAACGUUCCUUUUAACAUAUGUGAACAGGUGGAGGAAUCAUUACAGUAACGUUUACCGUACGCUAAUGCGUUGGAGGCGAGGACACUGGAAUUGAUUAACGUUCC